CAGUAAGUCCCUUUGCCCUCUGAGGCUCAACCUCACCGAGAGAGCGAGGACCUCUGCUGCAGAUCAGAUCUCUUUCUCCAUCACUCCAUCUGAUCUGAGACUCACUGCUGCACACCUGAAAGCUCACUGACAUGUCGGACACAGAGGAAGUUGUGGAGGAGUAUGAGGAGGAGGUGGAAGAAGAGGAGGCAGCUGAAGAGGCCAUGCAGGAAGUCGACAAACCUGCUGCAGAAGAGGAGGAGGAGGCGGAGGAGGAGGCUGCUGAAGAACAAGG